rnacentral:rRNA from 1 species
GACGAAAGUCUGACGGAGCAACGCCGCGUGAGUGAAGAAGGUUUUCGGAUCGUAAAGCUCUGUCUUUGAGGACGAAUGUGCUUAAUGUGAAUAAUGUUAAGUAAUGACGGUACUCGAGGAGGAAGCCACGGCUAACUACGUGCCAGCAGCCGCGGUAAUACGUAGGUGGCAAGCGUUGUCCGGAAUUAUUGGGCGUAAAGCGCGCGCAGGCGGGAUAUUAAGUCUGUUUUAAAAGUUCGGGGCUCAACCCCGUGAUGGAAUGGAAACUAAUAUUCUUGAGUGCAGGAGAGGAAAGUGGAAUUCCCAGUGUAGCGGUGAAAUGCGUAGAUAUUGGGAGGAACACCAGUGGCGAAGGCGACUUUCUGGACUGUGUCUGACGCUGAGGCGCGAAAGCCAGGGGAGUGAACGGGAUUAGAUACCCCGGUAAUCCUGGCCGUAAACGAUGGGUACUAGGUGUAGGAGGUAUCGACCCCUUCUGUGCCGGAGUUAACGCAAUAAGUACCCCGCCUGGGGAGUA